CAGCCGCCGCGGUAAUACGGAGGGUGCAAGCGUUAAUCGGAAUUACUGGGCGUAAAGCGCACGCAGGCGGUUUGUUAAGUCAGAUGUGAAAUCCCCGAGCUUAACUUGGGAACUGCAUUUGAAACUGGCAAGCUAGAGUCUUGUAGAGGGGGGUAGAAUUCCAGGUGUAGCGGUGAAAUGCGUAGAGAUCUGGAGGAAUACCGGUGGCGAAGGCGGCCCCCUGGACAAAGACUGACGCUCAGGUGCGAAAGCGUGGGGAGCAAACAGGAUUAGAUACCCCGGUAGUCCCUGUCUCUUAUAA
rnacentral:rRNA from 1 species